rnacentral:rRNA from 1 species
UACGUAGGGUGCAAGCGUUAUCCGGAAUUAUUGGGCGUAUAGAGCUCGUAGGCGGAUUGUCGCGUCUGCCGUGAAAGUCCGGGGCUCAACUCCGGAUCUGCGGUGGGUACGGGCAGACUAGAGUGAUGUAGGGGAGACUGGAAUUCCUGGUGUAGCGGUGAAAUGCGCAGAUAUCAGGAGGAACACCGAUGGCGAAGGCAGGUCUCUGGGCAUUAACUGACGCUGAGGAGCGAAAGCAUGGGGAGCGAACAGG